rnacentral:rRNA from 1 species
GACGAACGCUGGCGGCGUGCUUAACACAUGCAAGUCGAACGGGUCUGCCCUGUUUUUUGCGGGGUGGGUCAGUGGCGAACGGGUGAGUAACACGUGAGUAACCUGCCCCUCACUUCUGGAUAACCGCUUGAAAGGGUGGCUAAUACGGGGUGUUCUGGCUGUGCCGCAUGGUGUGGCUGGGAAAGAUUCACUUUUGUGGUGUUUUGGUGGGGGAUGGGCUCGCGGCCUAUCAGCUUGGUGGUGGGGUGAUGGCCUUCCAAGGCUUUGACGGGUAGCCGGCCUGAGAGGGUGGGCGGUCACACUGGGACUGAGAUACGGCCCAGACUCCUGCGGGAGGCAGCAGUGGGGGGUAUUGCACAAUGGGCGGAAGCCUGAUGCAGCGACGUCGCGUGAGGGAUGGAGGCCUGCGGGUUGUGAACCUCUUUCGCCGGUGAAGAAGGUCCUGCUCUUUGUGGUGGGGUUGACGGUAGCCGGGUUAUGAAGCGCCGGCUAACUACGUG